AAACUAACAGAUUUACUUCGGUAAUGACGUUAGGAAAGCGAGCGGCGGAUGGGUGAGUAACACGUGGGGAACCUGCCCCAUAGUCUGGGAUACCACUUGGAAACAGGUGCUAAUACCGGAUAAGAAAGCAGAUCGCAUGAUCAGCUUUUAAAAGGCGGCGUAAGCUGUCGCUAUGGGAUGGCCCCGCGGUGCAUUAGCUAGUUGGUAAGGUAAAGGCUUACCAAGGCGAUGAUGCAUAGCCGAGUUGAGAGACUGAUCGGCCACAUUGGGACUGAGACACGGCCCAAACUCCUACGGGAGGCAGCAGUAGGGAAUCUUCCACAAUGGACGCAAGUCUGAUGGAGCAACGCCGCGUGAGUGAAGAAAGUUUUCCGAUCGUAAAGCUCUGUUGUUGGUGAA
rnacentral:rRNA from 1 species